rnacentral:rRNA from 1 species
UACGGAGGGGGCUAGCGUUGUUCGGAUUUACUGGGCGUAAAGGGCGCGUAGGCGGCCUGUUAAGUCAGGGGUGAAAGCCCGGGGCUCAACCCGGGAACGGCCUUCGAGACUGGCGGGCUCGAGACCGGGAGAGGAGGGUGGAAUACCCAGUGUAGAGGUGAAAUUCGUAGAUAUUGGGUGGAACACCGGUGGCGAAAGCGGCUCUCUGGUCCGGUUCUGACGCUGAGGCGCGAAAGCGUGGGGAGCAAACAGG